rnacentral:lncRNA from 1 species
CCCGAUUUGAAAAGACUACAGCACGCGCGCAUUAAAUGCUGAGAUUUUCGAAGACGGUCGCGUGCGGGAUUCGAGAGGGCAACUUCGGUUGUGAAAAUUUCUCUGUACUUCCUUCAUUCAAAACUCAAACUCAAAAGUAGGGAGACUGGUGUUGGGUACAAAAUACCCCUCAGUCGAAGUUUGUGUCGGGAGUGACCCUUCAGGGAU